rnacentral:rRNA from 1 species
GAUGAACGCUGGCGGCGUGCCUGAUACAUGCAAGUCGAGCGAACGGACGAGAAGCUUGCUUCUCUGAUGUUAGCGGCGGACGGGUGAGUAACACGUGGAUAACCUACCUAUAAGACUGGGAUAACUUCGGGAAACCGUAGCUAAUACCGGAUAAUAUUUUGAACCGCAUGGUUCAAAAGUGAAAGACGGUCUUGCUGUCACUUAUAGAUGGAUCCGCGCUGCAUUAGCUAGUUGGUAAGGUAACGGCUUACCAAGGCAACGAUGCAUAGCCGACCUGAGAGGGUGAUCGGCCACACUGGAACUGAGGCACGGUCCAGACUCCUACGGGAGGCAGCAGUAGGGAAUCUUCCGCAAUGGGCGAAAGCCUGACGGAGCAACGCCGCGUGAGUGAUGAAGGUCUUCGGAUCGUAAAACUCUGUUAUUAGGGAAGAACAUAUGUGUAAGUAACUGUGCACAUCUUGACGGUACCUAAUCAGAAAGCCACGGCUAACUACGUG